CUCUGCCUCCCGGUCACCAGGCUGGAGGGGUCGUGCUCCUUUAGGGCAGCCAGCACCCAGCUCAAGUUCUCUGAAUCCAAUGGCCCAUGAGCCACAGCUCGGGAAGGAGAAGGAGCUGCCGGGGAUCCCACCAGGCAUGAGACACAGGCAGGCCCAGGCACAGGAAGCCCCAUGGAACCUGCCAGGUUGCAGCUGGGUCCAAUCCCGCCGGCCAUGCUGGGUGACUGCAGGCCCAGCCCACCCACCACGUGUGGACCCAGACACCUCCAUGACACCAAGGGCAAAGCACAAGUUCCAGGGUGGCCUCCCCUUGGCUCUUGGGGUGGGGACACCCAGCAGCUGGCACUCAGUUGGGGGGUUAUGUUUGCAGAAUCACAUCACCAUAUAAUCAAAGCACUGUCAGACAGAACUUGACCCACGGCCUCAGCCCCAGGGUGCUCAAUGCAGACUGUGCAGGUGACCCUCUGAAACUACCCAAGGACUCAGCCAAAGUGUAGUCCGGCCCCUUGCUCCUGGAGCCCUUCAGCACAUCCAUGGACCACCAUCAAGACAGGCACUGCAGGGCGCAGAGCCAACGUGCUGACCAACUCAGAAGCAGCAGCUUAGGAACCAGAGCCCCAAGCCACCCCGAUGCUGGCAGGGCCAACUCCAGGCGCCGUGCCUGCACAGCACCACACAACAACCUUUGCUAAGCGGGUCCCUUCCUUGGACCCAGACACUCUCAGUGACUCUGCUCAGGAGGCAGCACCACCAUGCUCUGGAGAAGAGGAGGCCGCCAGAGCCCGGGUGGUUUUAGUGGGUCUUUCCCUGAGGCAGAAACUCCAAGGCCAGGGACAAUGUGACCGAAGGGGACACAACUCUAUGGACACUGUCCGGGGAUCAAAGACGGUCAGCGUGCACCUAGGGAACGUUUAGCAAGCUGGGCUCCAUCUCCGCCGCUCCCAGGUGCGGGUCCCGUGUCGCUGUCCAGGCCCCUCAUUGCUGACACUCCCCUGGCUUCACUGGGCAGAGUCCACCGGCCCCCCAGCCCUGGGUGUGGCUGGCCCCUCCCUACCUCCCACGUAGCUCCCAGGCCUUUACGAAGCAAAUCUCCAUCCUCCAUCUCCACUCUUGGAAAAUGCAGGUGCCCUGCACACCCACAGCCCCGCCCCCGCCCCGCCACGGAGGCCUAUGGACGCUGCCACGACACCACAUGGCAGUUACUCGGUAUCUGGGCCCUGGACGCGCAAGACCCCGGAGGCCACAAACGGUACAGGUACACAGCCAGGAGUCACACUGCACACCCCCACCCGUACCUGAGGCAGACUGGGAUUGAAAUUUUAUUUUUAAAAGGUAAAGCUGUUUUAUUAAACGUCUUUUAAGGACUGGGAGUAUGACAUAACAAACUUGAGCAACAUGUGUAAACACGUGUGAAAUGCGGUUUGAUUUCAGUAGUUUAUUUUGAAGACAAAGCAGUGCAAGAGGCCGGCCACGCUUUCCUGUUCCCCGGGGCUCAGGGUCAGAACUAGGAAAGGUGACGUACAGACAUUAAUCGG